AGUUCUUCCUCCACCAGGUGGCCCUGGAGCUUGGUGGCUCUGGCCCUCAAACUUUCCUCCUCCAUGCUCACAGCUGACCAAGCCUGUGGCCCUGCGAUCCUGCUCUGAGGGGGUUCCUGACUUGGACCAUGGGUGGGGCCAAGGACGGCCUGACAUUCUGUCCUUCCCUGCUGAUGGCCCAGUGCCCCACAUUCUCUGCAGAGAUGAAAUCCCACAUCCCUGGGCUAGUCAAGUGAAGCAAUGGGAGUGGAGAUGGAACAAAGAAAUCUGCAAUUGGUUGUGAUCAAUUAGUUGUAAACACUACUGCACUUGGACCAACCUCUUCCUUUUCCUGACUGCUUAGGAAGGAUGGAAUGUAUUUCCUUCCUUCUGGGAGUGUUUGAAUGAAGAUUAGACUCUCCUUGACCAUGAAUGAAGAGCAACCAGUUUUUUAGUAUACAGUGAUUUAGACUCUGGGUCUAGAGUGUAGAUAUCAUGGGCACUGUGAAAGCACAGAAGGAGAAAAGGUUUUUAUGUGAGUAUAUGGGAGAGGAAAUAGUUUAUUGUCAUAAGCUUUUUGGCUAUGGCCUCCAUUACAUCUCUAGCUUUUGGAAGGCACUAAAUUGAGGCCAUUCAAAUCCAUGUCCACCUAUCCUUUGCCCGUCACGAGACUGAUGGCUUAGGAAGCAUGUGGUCUAGGUACUAGAGAGGGAGCCUGACCCACCUACCUCACCGCUGCUGCUGAAUUUGUGCACAACUCUCUGACCUGGUUCCAUGUCACAAAGGGUUUCAUUCUCUCUGAUUCCCUGAAUCCCCAGCUCUAGCCGCAGAUCCUGGAACCCUAGCAUAUGCCUGAAGCUGAAUAUUUUACUUGCCAGAGUAAGAGUUUUUACAUAGACUCUGUCAUCUUCUACUGGCCCUCCUCUUAAACUGAGGCAGCGGCUGCUAGCUACUCACCAAACCUAUUUUACUUUCUUUUUCUUUUUUUUUUUUUUUUUUUGAGACAGAGUCUUGCUCUGUCGCCCAGACUGGAGUGCAGUGGUAUGAUCUCGGCUCACUGCAACCUCCGCCUCUCAGGUUCAAGCGAUUCUCCCACCGUAGCCUCCUGAGUCGAUGGGAUUACAGGUGUGUGCCACCACACCCAGCUAAUUUUUGUAUUUUUUGGUAGAGAUGGAGGUUUCACUAUGUUGGCCAGGCUAGUCUCUAACUCCUGACCUCAAAUGAUCCACCCACCUCAGCCUCCCAAAGUGCUGGGAUUACAGGCAUAAGCCACCGUGCCUGGCCCCCCAUUUUACUUUCUUCUUUAACAUAUAGUUAGAAUGAAAACAUGUUGAAGGGAUGAUGGCAUUAGAAAAUUACCACUGGCCACUAUCACAGUAAUAAUUGCUUUAGGCAAGAAUGAUCGAUAAAAGCUAAAAUUAAUGGGCAAAAGUAUGAUGAGAAACAGGAUAUUUAUACAAUCGCAAAGUGCCUCCCAAUAAGAUACUUAUUAAAAAGGUAAAAAUGGUAAUUUUCAGUGGAGAAAUAUGGCAGACACCAUAGUAACCAACUGAUCAAAGGGAACAUUGGCAUUAAUGGGACAAAUCAGCAUCACGUUUCUCUUGUCAUGAAGCACUGAGAAGGCCACAGCAUUGCUUCUGAAAUAUUGCAACAAAAAUGAAUAACUUGAAUCUAAUGAUGAGGAAACAUUGGAGAAAUCCAAACCUUGGAACACGCUACAAAACAACUAACUCGUACUCUGAGAAACAUAUCAGUGGACUGGAUUCCAAACAGUGGCUCAUGCCUGUAAUUUUAACACUUUGGGAGGCCAAGUUUGGUGGGGCUUUGUGUCUGAAUUCUGGCCAAUGGAACCACGUGGAGGCCUGGCCCAGAACAUCUCCCUGUGGAUUCUCUCAUCUGGCAACUGGAUGCCUACACGAAGGGUGAUUUUGGAGUCAUGUGUUGGAGAUCACAAAGCUUUUGUCAGCCAGGUUCCUGAAUGACUGCUAGACACCAUGGGCUGAACUUUAUGAGCUCCAGCACCACCUCCAGCCUUCAGUGACUGUCUGGAGCAGGCAUCCGGAUGGAAGAGAAGGGGGACAACCAUGAACUUGGUGACCCACGGUCAGCCUGAUUUCCCUUGUGGACACAUUUAUGCCCAGUGUGCAUUCCUCCUGAGGUCUGUUCCAAGUCUGGAGGCAGCAGAGUAGAGUGGAGAGAACAGUGGACUUGGAAUCUCACCUCCCAGAUUAGAGUCCUGGAUCUGACUUUGAUUGCUGGUGCUGCCUCGGGCAAGUUACUUUAGCUGUGUGCAUCUCCAUUUCCCCAUGGAUAGAACAUGGGUUUUGGGUAGAAGUGUCUGAUAGCUGUACUGUGCUUUACGGUUCAUGAGCACGCACACAUAGGCCCAUAAUAUCAUAUCUCUGGUCACCCUGGCAGGUAGAUAUUAUUGCCCCAGGUUUCAGGUAAGAAGACUAAAGACCAGGGGUCAAUUGCUUGCUCAGAGUCCCACAGCCAGCAGCAGCCAGGCAGGACACCAAGUCAGAGUCUAGAUUCCGGAUCUUGCCCUCUUCCAAGUGUACCACAUUCUUCUCAAAGUGGCCUCUCAGGUCUUUUGUCCAGAAAAUUUUGAGACUUUGAUGAGAAGCCCAUAUCUGCACACUGGGGAUUAGGCCAGAUAACCCUGUGUGUCCUUCCAGGCCUGGUAUUGUGAGGCUGAAGCCUAGUGCCCCACACUCCCUUCCUCACCCCUUAGAGAAAGAUAGAGACUCCAGGGCCAGCCUGGUGGGUGCUGAACCUGCCCUGCUGAGCCAAGCCCAGGAGGCAGCCAAGGUCCUACCAGUGACCUUACCCUGGGGGCCCCUCCAGGUAGGAGCCUGGUUGGAAAAGACAGACCGACUUCUUCUGGGUUGGCUGGAAAAAGAUGACAUACUCAAAGCCUUGUCCUUCCACUUGGAUGCACCUGGUGAAGAUGCGACAGUCACCUUUGUCUGGGGAGAGAUAGGCAGUGUUGCAGCCGGAGAAGGGAGGGUAUGGUCAGGAUGCAGCACCAUUUGGUUGAGUCUUGCCUCUGGUACAAGAUUAAGGAGAGAAAACCAGAGGACACCAGGUCCACCCCCAGGGAGCCUUCCCUCUGGGAGCAGAGGCACAGUUGCUGUCCUCACAGAGCCUUUCUGUCUAGGGCAGAAACAUGCAGGAAGUGCCCUGGCUGAGAAUGGAGAUAGGAUCAGGGCCAGGGCAAGACUUUAAGAGACCAUAAGCAUUGAAAAUUGAAAAUGUAAUUACUCAUGUAACUCACAUAUAAUUCAAAAGAAUAAUAGUAAACAGUAAAAUAAGAGCAGAAAAGUCCAUCAAAGUUCUGAUUUUUUUUUUCCAAGACAGCUACCACUACUACAUCCUUUUUUGGAAGUAUCAAAUUCUUUGAAAAAAAAUUAUGUUGGUAUUCCUGCUUUGUUUGUGCCAUAAACCCAAGGGUAGUCUGUCCCCUGUACCACUCCUUCAUCACUAGGCAGGAAGACAACAUAUAUGAGUGAGAGAGACAGGGAGAUACACAUGCGUGCACACACGAGUGCACACACACACACAAGAAGGUGGAAGCUCUAUCAUUAGGAUCCAUUAGGAUCAUUAGGUGUUUCAGGAGUGCUGCUCCAGACCCCGCACAGCAGGGAUGAUGUGCAGGGCCUCAGUGGAAGGGGUGUGGGGUCCAAGGGCUUUCAUGGGGUUGGGGCGGAAGGCUUGGGAUGAGGCUUGAUAGUUAGGGAGGGGCAGUCAGUGAGAAGUCGGGGCAGGAGCUGGGCUGGCUGUCCUCCAGUGGGGACAUGCUUGGCUGGGAGCGAAGGUGGGCCCACCAGGGUGUGCUGCUUCAGAUGGGAGGAGGGGAGCUGGAGACCUGAGAGGACACCCGCCGCCUGUUGCCUGGGGCUGCAGCAUCAGGGGUGGAGUUGGACAGCAGGAAGAACUCGCUGAGAACUGGAAGGCGGUCUGUGAAGUUGCUUCUCAGUCUUAGAACACAGGGAAGGGCGGCUGGGGUGUGUGUACUCAUGGUCCUGUCCUUACCUGAGGAAACUGCCAGUCCAGAUGGGAGCUUGAGUCCCCGGAUGUGGUCUCUGUUGGACUUGAAGGAGGGCAGCUUGAUCCAGCCGCUAGACUUAGUCUUCUCCAGAAAUUCUUGGUACAGGCUCAGCAUGUCCGAACACCAGCUGGCAUUGGGAAGAGCAUAAUCCUUCAAGUCUGUCUUCUCUGGCAAGAAUCUUGAGAACUGGGCAGGAAAAAUCAGAAUGACUAGACAGCAUCCUGGAGGGGGGCUGCUGCCUGGGCUCGGGACCUCUAAACAGCUGUUCCUGGGUGCUGGGGCUUCUCAAUCCCUUCUGCCAGAGUAUCGAUCCAAGGGAAAGGGCCCAUAUUCCUUGCAGGGGGGCUGCGGACCCCUAUGGGUGACGGGGCAUAAGGAUGCUAAAGAGCAAGGGAAGGGCGGGCAGGGAGUGGGGCCAGAGAUGAUGGGCAUGCUGCUCGAUGUGGUGCCUUACCCUUGUUCUGCUUAAAACAUGUGAGCAGUUCUUUAAAGUUGACAACUGCUCAUAUUAGCCUCACUGUACAGAUGGGGAAACUGAGGGAAUACGGCCAAGGUUGCCAAGCAUGUGACUGUGAGAGCUGGUGGUCGCACUAGAUGCUGUCUCCUCUGCAGGGCAGGGUCACAGUUGUUGAGGACCAUUCUAGCAACCCCCACCUCAGGGGCUACUCCAGCUCUGCCCACUGCUGUGGGCCUGCCUGGGCAGGGUGGCUCCUUUGAAACACAUUUGGGCCCCCACAGAGGUGUGGUGCCAUGGCUGGGGCACAGACUAUGUGCCCAUCUGUGUGACGUAAGGAAGUCCUCUGUAGCGUCACCUGCUCAUACACCAGUCACAACUGUAGACAGCAUGUGAGCUGCUUGCCAAUGCCACAGAUGGGGUCCUCUGUCUGGGGAUACCCCAGCUUUGCUGCAGUAGUCUGAGUCCCACAGGAGGAAAGUCAUUUGUUGGUGGCCACACAAGACACAGAGCCAGAUGCAGGUCUCCUGGUAGUUUUAGUUUUGAAUGGGGGCAACUUGGUAUCCCAGAGCACUUUCUCUUUGCCAAAUCAAAUAGCUCCUCCGAACACUGCCCACCUGCCCUGGCCAUGGGCUGGGAAGAGGAGAUUUGGGGUGCUCCUUAAGCCCUAGGCUCCUGGGAAAACACUGCCCAUCUGGCUGAGCUGGGAACUCACCAUGGAGUCUGUGGAGGAUCCAAAUGCUGAGGCAGGGUUGAGUCUGGGCAGGAUACGGGGGGCCUCAAGAAGGCCUCUGUGGUGGCCAAGUCUUGCUGCCACCUGGAAGCAUCUCCUUAUCAUGGCCAAGUGCAAGGAUCCAGCCCUGCUUGGAUGGAGGGUCUUGGCUGACUCCCAAGGAGUGCUUUCAGCUGCACUUGGGGCCGCUUCUCUCCCUUCUGUUGCAGGCUUUCUUUCAGAGAGCUAGGCGAGGCUGGGCUGGUGUGCUGCAACACCCACAGAUGCUCGGCGCCUUUAGCUGGUCUAGGAGCCCCACCCAGUGCUUGGGGAGGGACAGAUGCUGCUUGGGCAUGAAAAGGCAGCAGGACUGGCUUGAGUUGCAAAAGGAGUAAACAAGUACAUAAACAAAUAGUAUGGGGUAUAUAGAGCCUUGGAGAGCUGCCUGGGGGUUCUGAGGGAGAAUCCAAGAAUAUUUCCAGAAGGAUAAGGGAAGCCUGUCCCUUGAUUGGAGGGUGCUGGUGGAGUGUUCUUGGUAUGUGCUCUGCAGUGUAUACCGGACUCUGAAAACUCUGGUAUGAUUUUGUGACUCAGAAAACCAACUCACAGGCCGGGUGCGGUGGCUCACGCCUGUAAUCCCAGCACUUUGGGAGGCCGAGGCGGCGGAUUACGAGGUUAGGAGAUCGAGACCAUCCUGGCUAACACGGUGAAACCCCGUCUCUACUAAAAAAAAUACAAAAAAUUAGCCGGGCGUGGUGGCGGGUGCCGGUAGUCCCAGCUACGCAGGGGGCUGAGGCAGGAGAAUGGCGUGAACCUGGGAGGUGGAGCUUGCAGUGAGCUGAGAUCUAGCCACCGCACUCCAGCCUGGGCGACUGAGCGAGACUCCGUCUCAAAAAAAUAAAAAUAAAAAAAUAAAAAAAAAGAAAACCAACUCACAGCCUUAGACACCUCUUUUUUUUUUUUUUUUUUUUUUUUGGUGAGACGGAGUUUCAAUCUUGUCGCCCAGGCUGGUGUGCAAUGGCGUGAUCUCGGCUCACUGCAACCUCCGCCUCCUGGGUUCAAGUGAUUCUCCUGCCUCAGCCUCCUGAGUAGCUGGGAUUACAGACACACACCACCACACCCAGCUAAAUUUUGUAUAUUUUUUUUAGUAGAGAUGGGGUUUUGCCAUGUUAGCCAGGCUGGUCUUGAACUCCUGACCUCAGGUGACCUCCCAAAGUGCUGGGAUUACAGGCGUGAGCCACCGCACCCGGCCAACACCUCUUCUUAUAUCCCGGACAAGGGUUAGCACAGGAGAGUUUCACCUGCUGGUCUCUGGCUGGGGAUAGGAGUUGGAGGUGGGGGAGGGCUUGACAGGGAGGGCAGAAAAUAAUUUGGGAGGAAACAGCUUGGCAGGGAUACUCUCAUGUUUUGGGAACCCCGUGCCCAGGGAGUGGCUCAUGUCAGCAGGCAGUGCUGGGAGUGAGGUGGGCGCGGCAGUGAGGCUUUGUUGAGUGGGAAGGGACACUCAGCCAACAUCUGCAAGGCAGUGGGAUUUGGUGGUGGUGUGUCUUCUAUUGAAUUUAAACUGCCAAUUUUCAAUUAAAAGUCUCAGUUUUAAAUUGACUAAAAUAAAAGCAUGUUCUAAAGAUCAGUCCUCGCGCAGUGGCUCAAGGCUGUAAUCUCAGCAUUUUGGGAGGCCGAGUGAGACCUUGUCUUAAAAAAAAAAAAAUCAGAACUGUGCAAAGGUGGAAUCAUAACAGUGAUGAUGACGAUAAUAAUAGUUGUGAUGAUUAUGACAUUUUGGCAGGUUCCAAAAGAUGAAACUGAUUUAAUGCGGAAAUUUAAAAGAUUUGGUUCACCCUCUGUAUUUGGUUGCCCUAGAAGAAGACUAGAAUAUAAAUAUUUCCCCUCACCUCCUGCAAAGGUUUGAAUUAAACUUCCUCAAGGACUGGGGGAACCAUUUUUUUUUGUUGUUGUUAUUUUGUCAGAGUCUCACUCUUAUUGCCCAGGAGUGCAGUGGCACCAUCUCGGCUCACUGCAACCUCUGCCUCCCAGGCUCAAGCAAUUCUCCUGCCUCAGCCUCCCAAGUAGCUGGGAUUACAGGCGCUUGCUACUACGCCCGGCUAGUUUUUAUAUUUUUAGUAGAGACGGGGUUUCAUCAUGUUGGCCAGGCUGGUCUCAAACUCCUGGCCUUGGCUGAUCUGCCUGCCUCAGCGUCCCAAAGUGCUGGGAUUACAGGCAUGAGGCACCACGCCCAGCUGGAAGUUUUUUUGGUUGAUUCAGCCUCUGGGUCUAAGCAAAGAUAUUUGAGUUGGUUGCCAUCCCCAGAUAAGUGAGAAUAUCUGGCAGCACUCAUUUUCAGCCCUGGGCCGCAGCCGUUGCUGUGAGGCAGAAAUUAAAAAAAGAUAGUAAGUACUACAUUCAUUCACUCCAAGAAAAGUAACAGACAAGGCUAUAAGAAGGUCAUAGUGACCUAGUCUGAGAAGUAAAAGCCAAGGCCCAGAAUGUGGCAAGGCAAAGGUUAAAAAGAAAGGAAGAGCAAGUUUUUCUCUGCCUAGCAAGCUCACUUCAAAGACAAUUAUAAGAUAAUGCUCUUCGAGAAGUCGAAACCAAAGGAAUAGGCUCCAGACAUCCCCCGUCUGGAGCAAGGGUGAAGGAAAAAAAAAAAAGGACAAAUGUCUGUCUGUAUUUAGCCAGUUCUUGUUUUUUCUUUCCACGCAGCUACAAGGCCACCAGCUAUGCAAAGCCACAAGUUAUGCCAAGUCAUCAGUUAUGCUAUAGAUUAUGUGACCUGUCAUUAUAUGAUUAACUGCCUGUUUUGCUUCUGUAAGCCUGCUUAUAAAAAUCCUGCUCAGUCUUUGUUCAAUGCUCAGCUUUUUGGAUGUGAAUCCACUGAGCCAAUGCCUACCUUAAAAUAAACAUCGUCCUGUUUUUCCAUAUCUGUCUCUCUGGUCCUGAGUUUACCAC
rnacentral:lncRNA from 1 species